UCGGGUUGCUUGAGAGUGCAGCCCUAAGUGGGUGGUAAACUCCAUCUAAGGCUAAAUAUGACCACGAGACCGAUAGCGAACAAGUACCGUGAGGGAAAGAUGAAAAGCACUUUGGAAAGAGAGUUAAACAGCACGUGAAAUUGUUAAAAGGGAAACGAUUGAAGUCAGUCAUGCUCUUGGGACUU
rnacentral:rRNA from 14 species